AUUGAACGCUGGCGGCAGGCUUAACACAUGCAAGUCGAGCGAGCGGCGGACGGGUGAGUCAUGUCUGGGAACCUGCCUGCUGGAGGGGGAUAACUACUGGAAACGGUAGCUACUCCCGCAUACCAUCAGAUGUGCCCAGAGGGGAUUAGCUAGUCGGUGGGGUAAUGGCUCACCUAGGCGACGAUCCCUAGCUGGUCUGAGAGGAUGACCAGCAACAAUGGAACUGAGAAACGGUCCAGACUCCUACGGGAGGCAGCAGGGGGGAAUAUUGCACAAUGGGCGAAAGCCUGAUGCAGCCAUGCCGAGUGUGUGAAGAAGGCCUUCGGGUUGUAAAGCACUUUCAGCGAGGAGGCGUUACUCGCAGAAGAAGCACCGGCUAACUCCGUGCCAGCAGCCGCGGUAAUUC
rnacentral:rRNA from 1 species